AUUGAACGCUGGCGGCAUGCCUUACACAUGCAAGUCGAACGGCAGCACGGGAGCAAUCCUGGUGGCGAGUGGCGAACGGGUGAGUAAUGUAUCGGAACGUGCCCAGUCGUGGGGGAUAACGUAGCGAAAGCUACGCUAAUACCGCAUACGAUCUGUGGAUGAAAGCGGGGGACCGUAAGGCCUCGCGCGAUUGGAGCGGCCGAUAUCAGAUUAGGUAGUUGGUGGGGUAAAGGCCUACCAAGCCGACGAUCUGUAGCUGGUCUGAGAGGACGACCAGCCACACUGGGACUGAGACACGGCGCAGACUCCUACGGGAGGCAGCAGUGGGGAAUUUUGGACAAUGGGCGCAAGCCUGAUCCAGCAAUGCCGCGUGCAGGAUGAAGGCCUUCGGGUUGUAAACUGCUUUUGUACGGAACGAAACGGCGAGCUCUAAUACAGUUUGCUAAUGACGGUACCGUAAGAAUAAGCACCGGCUAACUACGUGCCAGCCGCCGCCGUAA
rnacentral:rRNA from 1 species